rnacentral:lncRNA from 1 species
CUUCUUCCCGCCCCCACCAGUGAUAUCCAAUGAGAGUGCCGCUUGGCCCGUCCUGGUUUACCCGACUCAACCUGAUAGGCCGAAACUGCGGGCGAACCAGGAAAGGGAGGCGUGGUUCGGCGGGAAUCCAUUCCAGGUUGACUCCACCAGCGAGAAUCACAGAUGAGGAAGCUGAGGUUAAAGUCACUUGCCCCAGGUCACUCCGCAAGUUGAAGCGCAACCAGGAUACUCUGGAACAGGAUGCCUGACUUCAGAGGAGAGGCGCGUAACCACCAGGCAACUGGCCCCACGAAAACAAGUCCCGCAACUUCCCUUCUUUGGCUCCUACUUGCUCCCGGAAGAAAAGCCUUAAACGGUAUUCAAGCCCUUUAGGAUCUGAUGUCCUAGGACUCCACUCUGGGCUUCCAGCCUGGGGUGGUACUGGUCCCUAGGCAUGGAAGCUCCUCCCACUGCCCCUUCCUUCACCCGGCCACCUCCUCCCACAGGUGUCUUCCUGGUACUCUUGCACAGGCCCGAGUCCCUUACCACCACGGCCUUAGCCUGCUCUCGUGCUCUCAGUAAUGUUUUCUCCAUUUGCUGCCUUUCAUUCUUUCCAGAGAUUCUUGCUCAACCCAACCAGGCCAGCCCGGGGACUAGGGACAUGUAGGGACAAUAGUCCCUGCUUCAGGCAGUUCAGGGCAGACCAC